ACCGGCGCACGGGUGCGUAACACGUAUGGAACUUGCCCUGUACUGGGGGAUAGCCCGGAGAAAUCCGGAUUAAUACCCCAUAACAUGCGAGGAGGCAUCUCCUUGUUUUGAAAGAAUUUCGGUACAGGAUAGCCAUGCGUCCGAUUAGCUAGUUGGUGAGGUAACGGCUCACCAAGGCGACGAUCGGUAGGGGGCCUGAGAGGGUUAUCCCCCACACUGGUACUGAGACACGGACCAGACUCCUACGGGAGGCAGCAGCGAGGAAUAUUGCGCAAUGGAGGCAACUCUGACGCAGCCAUGCCGCGUGCAGGAAGACGGCCCUACGGGUUGUAAACUGCUUUUAUUCGGGAAGAAACCCCUUUACGUGUAGAGGGUUGACGGUACCGAAGGAAUAAGCACCGGCUAACUCCGUGCCAGCAGCCGCGGUAAUACGGAGGGUGCAAGCGUUAUCCGGAUUCAUUGGGUUUAAAGGGUGCGUAGGCGGGGUGGUAAGUCAGUGGUGAAAUCCUGCAGCUCAACUGUAGAAUUGCCAUUGAUACUGCCAUUCUUGAGUGCGCUUGAAGUAGGCGGAAUGUGCCGUGUAGCGGUGAAAUGCUUAGAUAUGGCACAGAACACCAAUUGCGAAGGCAGCUUACUAAGGCGAUACUGACGCUGAGGCACGAAAGCGUGGGGAUCGAACAGGAUUAGAUACCCUGGUAGUCCACGCCGUANACGAUGAUCACUCGU
rnacentral:rRNA from 1 species